rnacentral:rRNA from 1 species
UACGGGGGGAGCAAGCGUUGUUCGGAUUUACUGGGCGUAAAGGGCGCGUAGGCGGUCAGCACAAGUCAGUUGUGAAAUCUCCGGGCUUAACUCGGAAAGGUCAACUGAUACUGUGCGACUAGAGUGCAGAAGGGGCAACUGGAAUUCUCGGUGUAGCGGUGAAAUGCGCAGAUAUCGGGAGGAACACCAGUGGCGAAGGCGGCACUCUGGGCCAGUACUGACACUGAGGAGCGAAAGCGUGGGGAGCGAACAGG